rfam:Bordetella sp. SCN 67-23 ABS43_C0013, whole genome shotgun sequence.
CUUCGCUGAUCACCACAGUGGAGAAAGUGAUUGGGAAACAGAGACUUAGCGCUCUAGUGCAUGACUCGUUUCCCGCUCCAGG